rnacentral:rRNA from 1 species
UACGUAGGGUGCGAGCGUUGUCCGGAAUUAUUGGGCGUAAAGGGCUCGUAGGCGGUCUGUUGCGUCAGGAGUGAAAACUCGGGGCUUAACCCCGAGCCUGCUUCUGAUACGGGCAGACUAGAGGUAUGCAGGGGAGAACGGAAUUCCUGGUGUAGCGGUGAAAUGCGCAGAUAUCAGGAGGAACACCGGUGGCGAAGGCGGGCCUCUGGGCCGAUACUGACGCUGAGGAGCGAAAGUGUGGGGAGCGAACAGG